AAGGAGUAAAGGUCAUUUUCAAGGUGGUCAAAUCCAAUGAUCAACGACCUUCGCCUAGGUUAGAGAGUGAUGAUGAUUCCCAUGAAAAUUGAUCAGCUGAUGAUACCGGUGGUGAUCGUGAAGAGUCAAUAGAAGAGGACACCAUCUGAUGCAGAUUCAGGGAGACCCCUUUUGUUCUUACUUUAUUGCACAUGCAGUGAGGACACUAUUUUCU
rnacentral:lncRNA from 1 species